AACUCGUCACAUCAAUGAAGGUGAUGCUGUCACAUUCCAAAACAGCCUUGUUGGAAGCAUAUUAUACCUCACUUGAAGACAGCAGGUUCAACAGCAUUCUGGAUCAGAUUAAAUCACUGAUUAAUGAUGACACCAGUUACAUGAAAGGUGGUUUGUCCAUGCUCGCACAGAAGUGCUAUGCUGUGCGGCCCAACGUCAGCGAAUUCUUAGAUAUUGCAUGACGAGCCUACACAGAAGUGACCAGACAGAAGAACAACUAUGGGUUCACCAUGUAGACCUCAUGAAAAUGAAUGAUCACUGUGAGGAGGCUUUGAAAGACAUUUUCCACAUGUCUUAAGUGGUGGUGUCCAGGUUAUUGAGUGAGCUCUAUGAACACAUCCACUGCCUGUACAAACUGUCUGAUGCUGUGUUAAUGCUGGACAUGUUGCUCUCUUUGGCUCAC